rnacentral:rRNA from 1 species
UACGGGGGGGGCAAGCGUUGUUCGGAAUUACUGGGCGUAAAGGGCUCGUAGGCGGCCAACUAAGUCAGACGUGAAAUCCCUCGGCUUAACCGGGGAACUGCGUCUGAUACUGGAUGGCUUGAAUCCGGGAGAGGGAUGCGGAAUUCCAGGUGUAGCGGUGAAAUGCGUAGAUAUCUGGAGGAAUACCGGUGGCGAAGGCGGCAUCCUGGACCGACAUUGACGCUGAGGAGCGAAAGCCAGGGGAGCAAACGGG